ACUCAUUCUCCGCUACCAGUGGUUUCCUCCUCCGUCGUCGACGUCGAUACCUUGCUGGCCACGAAAGGCGAAUCAACCACCAAGCUACGACCUCAGCGACGACAAAGGCCGACCACCACGAACAGGUAUCUGCCAUUGGUGUUUGUGUGAUCCAACCCCCAAUUUCGAGCCAUUCUGUGGUUGGUGUUGCUGUGAUUUAUCCCAUUUAGAUUUCAUAGCUGUUGCCGGAAAAGGCUUCUCUGGAUUAGAGAUGAUUAGAAAAAAUCUGACAGAUGUGCCUAGACAGGAUGUGUUAAACUAUUAUGGGGCUGUGAAAGCUGGUUGAUUCAGCUGUUUAGAGAUUGUUGUAUGAGACUAUAUGCCAAUUAUAAUGAUUUUGUCAAUUGGCAUUGAACCAAAACUCUGGCCACUCAAAUAAAAUUUGUCUUGUCUUAGUGUAGAAUCAUGUGUUUAUCAGAGCAAGACAUUCUUUUGACCUCUAAUGAAGGUUGUUCCUAUUGUUCUUAUCUACAAACUAUUCAUUUUGUAAUUGUAUACAUCAUCCUGGAAGAACUCCAUUUGAUUUUGUUGUGUUAGUUAUUGAACAUACAAGGCUUUAUCCAUUAUUCUAGGCUUGAAAGAAAGAAGAGAGACUUUAAUUCUGUAGAGAAGAGAAUGGACUCCAUUGUCAAUGUGGCAGUGGAAGAGAUAUGUAGUGGAAUUGAAGAUGGAAUCACUCUUGCAGCCUUAUGGGUCAAACUUCAAGGCUCACCCACUCUUUCAUCCUCCAAUCUCCAUUUGAACCGCACCGUCAAAAGAGCCAUAUGGAGGAACCUCCUUUGCAUUCCGGGUCUUCGUUUUGAACCACAACCAUCUUCUUCGGAAUUGGAGGAUGCUGAGAAGGUCAAUAUAAAGAUUUUUCCUCAAUUGAGCCUUGUUGACAAAGGUUUGAGUUUGAAAUUACUAAAUUCAACUCCCCAGAAGAGGAGGAGGAGGAGGAUGCAAAUGGAACCACAUUUCAAACAGAUGUUCUAAAGGAUUAUUCACCUCAAAUGAAAGCUAUUUGUGACAAACUUGCAAAAGCCAAUGGCAAGGUUCAUUUUCAUUCAGUUCUCUUUUAAGUUACCUUCCACUGCAGCUAAUACACUCAUUUAUGCUCGCGUUUUUAUUGCGAUAUAUUUCUUCAAGGUUCUUCUUGUGUCGGAUAUUAAAAAUGAUCUUGGUUACUGUGGAUCGCGUCCAAGACAAAAGGGCUUGGAGACAAAUUUCUCAAAGGUUGAAAGCAGAUGAUAUUGUGGAGCAGUUUGAUGCUAAGGUGAAUGGCAGGGUUGGUUAGUUUACACUGUAUCAUUACUUUUAUGUCUCAUUUUGAUGAUUUUUUAGUCUCUGCAAUGUCUCUCUUGGAAAGCAUUGCAAAUCAUCUUCUUCUUAUGGAGAGGAAAUUCAACUUAUCAAGUAAAGAUUUGUUUAUUAGUGCUGCGUCUCCUUGAUGAUUCCAUAAAUUUGAAUAUUAUUGCCUUUUCACUUCAAAUAUAUUGGGUGUUAAAUGUAAACAGAUAUGUAUUCUUAGUUAU